CUGUUGGUUUAGACCUUAACAUCUAAAUUAUACUUAAUUAAUACAAAUUUAUCAAUCAAUGCCUCCACUAACACUCCCCAACCCUCCCACACCAAAUGAACCUGCCCUUGAGAGGGAAACAACAACUGGAAACGACUGCUAAUACCUCGCAGGCUGAGUUGCAACAGGAGGAAUCCACCCGAGGAGGGACUCGCAUCUGAUGAGCUAGUUUUGUGAAGUAAUAGCUUACCAACGCAAUGAUUAGUAGCUGAUCUGAGAGGAUGAUCAGCCACACUGGGACUGAGACACGGGCCAGACUGCUACGAGAGGCAGCAGUGAGGAAUUUUUCACAAUGGGCGAAAGCUUGACGGAGCAAUGCCGCGUAGAGGUAGAAGGCCCACGGGUCGUGAACUUCUUUUUCCGGAGAAGAAGCAAUGACUAUAUCUGGGAAAUAAGAGCAGCUGCGAUAAUACAGAGGAUGCAAG
rnacentral:ncRNA from 1 species